rnacentral:tRNA from 2 species
UCGGGGGUGGUGUAAUCGGUAGCACGCCAGGUUUUGGUCCUGGAAGCCGGGGUUCAAGUCCCUGCCCCCGAG